rnacentral:rRNA from 1 species
CCUACGGGCGGCAGCAGUGAGGAAUAUUGGUCAAUGGACGCAAGUCUGAACCAGCCAUGCCGCGUGCAGGAUGACGGCUCUAUGAGUUGUAAACUGCUUUUGUCCGAGGGUAAACCCCGGUACGCGUAUCGGGUUGAGAGUAUCGUAAGAAUAAGGAUCGGCUAACUCCGUGCCAGCAGCCGCGGUAAUACGGAGGAUCCGAGCGUUAUCCGGAUUUAUUGGGUUUAAAGGGUGCGAAGGCGGUUUGAUAAGUUAGAGGUGAAAGGUCGGGGCUCAACCCCGAACCGGCUUCAAAACUGGUGGACUUGAGAAGAAGUGCGGUAGGCGGAAUGUACGGUGUAGCGGUGAAAUGCGUAGAGAGCGUACAGAACACCGAUUGCGAAGGCAGCAUACCA